GCCCGGGUGGUGGAAUUGGCAGACACAAGGGACUUAAAAUCCCUCUCCCUAACGGGAAUACGGGUUCAAGUCCCGUCCUGGGCACCA
rnacentral:tRNA from 1 species